rnacentral:rRNA from 1 species
GACGAACGCUGGCGGCGUGCCUAAUACAUGCCAGUAGAACGCUGAAGCGAGGAGCUUGCUCUUCUUGGCUGAGUUGCGAACGGGUGAGUAACGCGUAGGUAACCUGCCUUGUAGCGGGGGAUAACUAUUGGAAACGAUAGCUAAUACCGCAUAACAAUGGAUGACACAUGUCAUUUAUUUGAAAGGGGCAAUUGCUCCACUACAAGAUGGACCUGCGGUGUAUUAGCUAGUAGGUGAGGUAAUGGCUCACCUAGGCGACGAUACAUAGCCGACCUGAGAGGGUGAUCGGCCACACUGGGACUGAGACACGGCCCAGACUCCUACGGGAGGCAGCAGGAGGGAAACUUCCGGAAUGGGGGCAACCCUGAACGAGCCACGCCGCGUGAGGGAAGAAGGGUUUCGGAUCGUAAAGAUCUGUUGUAAGUCAAGAACGGGUGUGAGAGUGGAAAGUUCACACUGUGACGGUAGCUUACCAGAAAGGGACGGCUAACUACGUG